UACAGAGACUGCAAGCGUUAUUCGGAUUCACUGGGCGUAAAGGGUGCGCAGGCGGCCGUGUGUGUGAGGCGUGAAAGCCUGGAGUUUAACUCCAGAAUUGCACCUCAAACUACAUGGCUAGAGCAUUGGAGAGGGUAGCAGAAUUCAUGGUGUAGCAGUGAAAUGCGUAGAUAUCAUGAGGAAUACCAGAGGCGAAGGCGGCUACCUGGACAAUUGCUGACGCUCAGGCACGAAAGCGUGGGGAGCAAAAGGG
rnacentral:rRNA from 1 species